rnacentral:ncRNA from 1 species
ACACGCUCACACACACAAGUUCACGCACUCAAGCUCAGAGACGACGCUGUAGACAAUGAGGUUCUUUGUUGUACGUGAUAUGUGAGAGCCCAUGCAACCACCCAGAAGACAAUUUUCAGAUCGACAUCCGUUUUCUUUCCGCCCAAAAACCGUCGAUAGAGAACUGGCCGGUUUGAGUGCGCUCACUCUCUCCUCUGUGGCCACGGGCCGUUGUCUAUGGUUUAGGCACAACCACCAAAUUUAAUCAAAGUCAUGGGUCAUUAAAUUCUAAUUAGUGACGCGCAUGACUAGAUUAACAAGAUUCCCACUGUCUUUAUCGACUAUCUAGCGAAACCACAGUCAAGGGAACGGGCUAGG